UUUUAUUAUGACUUUGCUAUUUGGAAUAAUAGAGGCCACUGUGAACUUUGAGGUUAUUUUCUUUUUGUUAAAAUCCUAACCUGGAUAGAAUAUUAAAACUUAAGAUAUUUUAAAAUAUUAUCAAAGUAAUAUUAAAGAAAAAAAAAGAACAGUGUUAAAGAAAAUAUUUUGGUACUUGUGUAUUAAUAGGCAGAGCAGUGGAAAUGGAAUAGUACCUUCCAUAAGUAGACUUAGAUAAAUACUAGAAUUUUGCUUAUGGUGGAGGUGGCCUUUUAGAUCAUUGGAGAUAAAACAGACUAUCCAAUGAAUGGGUGGUUGGGUCAACUGUUUAGAACAGCAGCCCCCAACCCCUGGGUCAUGGACUGGUAAUCACCUAUGGCCUGUCAGGAACUGGGCCAUACGACAGUAGGUGAAUGGUGGGCGAACAUCACCGCCUGAACUCCAUCCCCUGUCAGAUCAGCAAUGGCAUGAGAUUCUCAUAGGACUGCAAACCCUAUUGUGAACUGUACAUGUGAGGGAUCUAGGCUGCCAGCUCAUUAUGAAACUCUAAUGCUUGAUGAUCUGUGGUAGAACAGUUUCAUCCUAUAACCAUCCCCAUCUCCCACCCUUCCAGCCCCCUCCAUGGAGAAAUUGUCUUCCAAGAAACUGGCCCCUGGUGCCAAAAAGGUUGGGGACCACUGGUCUAGAAUUUGUCACUGUAAAGAGGCAUUUUUUUUCUUACCUGGAAAAAAAUUACUGUUUUUUUCUUAACUCUGUAAUUAGAAAAUUUCAAAUGUGCAGAAUGAGAGCAAAAAGUAAAAUGAACUUUCAUAUACACAUCACUCAGUUUUAGCACUUGUCAACUCAUGACAAAUCUUGUUUCACCUUUACUAGGUUCUUUUGAAGCAGAUCUUUACAUCAUAUCAUUCAUCUAUAAAUAUUUCACCUCUACUCACUCUUGAUACCAACGUAUAUUUCAAAUAUACCAAAAUGUAAUUUUUUAAAUGGGAUUAUGAAAUUACUUAAAAGAAAUAUGUGAGAAUUGUUUAAAAAUCUCUGGGAGGUUUGUUAAGCUUAGAUACAUGUCUAAGCUUAAGGAGAUUGAUGAAUUUGACAAGAUAAAAUUUGUUAUUUUUGGUAUGCUUAAAAACUACUAAAAUCAAAUGACAAAUGGAAUUAUUUAAAUACUAGAAAAGGCUUAUUUCUUUAAUAUACAAAUAACUUCAUAAAGGAAUAAGAAAAAUAAGCCUUGGCAACAUAGUAAGACUCCAUUUCUCAAAUAAAAACUACAAAACCAAAAAUAUUAGUGGACAUGGUAGCGCAUGUCUGUUGUCUCAACUACUCAGGAGGCUGGCUGAGGUGGGAGAAUUGCUUGAGCCUGCAGUGAGCCAUGAUCACAGUGACUGUCACUGGAUGACAGAACAAAACCCUGUCUCAAAAAAAAAGAAAAAAAAAGUCUUUUGGCUUUCGUCUCGGAGGAGGCCAAGGUACAACUUUCUUCCGUCUUCCCGAAUCCGGGUUCAUCCGACACCAGCCGCCUCCACCAUGCCGCCAAAGUUUGACCCCAACAAGAUCAAAGUCGUAUAUCUGAGGUGCACUGGGGGUGAAGUUGGUGCCACUUCUGCACUUGCCCCAAGAUCGGCCCCCUGGGUCUGUCUCCAAAAAAGGUUGGUGAUGACAUUGCCAAGGCAACAGGUGACUGGAAGGGCCUGAGGAUUACAGUGAAACUGACCGUUCAGAACAGACAGGCACGGAUUGAGGUGGUGCCUUCUGCCUCUGCCCUGAUCAUCAAAGCCCUCAAGGAACCACCAAGAGACAGAAAGAAACAGAAAAACAUUAAACACAGUAGGAAUAUCACUUUCGACGAGAUUGUCAACAUUGCUCGACAGAUGCGGCACCGAUCUUUAGCCAGAGAACUCUCUGGAACCAUUAAAGAGAACCUGGGGACUACCCAGUCUGUGGGCUGUAAUGUUGAUGGCCGCCGCCCUCAUGACAUCAUAGAUGACAUCAACAGUGGUGCUGUGGAAUGCCCAGCUAGUUAAGAA